GUCGGCGUCGCUUAGUGGUUAGAGCAUCUCGUUGUGGUGCUUCAGUGACAGGAGAUUCCGAGGAGACGGGUGUUCGAUUCACCCCGCUGACA